UGUCGUCCCCGGACGACCAUCCAAUGUCUCAGCGCUCUGUGAGAGGCGCCUUCGGGUGAGUGCCAUCCAAUGUUUCAGCGGUCUGUGAGAAACGCCUUCGGGUGAUCGCAAAAUCCUCCUGGCCUGGAAGAGGAUGCCUUAGUGGCGGUAACUCC
rnacentral:sRNA from 1 species